rnacentral:rRNA from 1 species
UACAGAGGUCUCGAGCGUUAGGCGGAAUCACUGGGCUUAAAGCGUGUGUAGGCGGAUCGGUAAGUACCUUGUGAAAUCCCACAGCUUAACUGUGGAACUGCUUGGUAUACUGCCAGUCUUGAGCCAGCUAGGGGCGACCGGAACAGACGGUGGAGCGGUGAAAUGCGUAGAUAUCGUCUGGAACGCCAAUGGUGAAAACAGGUCGCUGGGGCUGUGCUGACGGCUGAGAACACGAAAGCCCAGGGGAGCAAACGGGG